rnacentral:rRNA from 1 species
UACGGGGGGAGCAAGCGUUGUUCGGAUUUACUGGGCGUAAAGGGCGCGUAGGCGGCGCAACAAGUCACUUGUGAAAUCUCCGGGCUUAACCCAGAGCGGCCAAGUGAUACUGUCGUGCUAGAGUGCGGAAGGGGCUACUGGAAUUCUCGGUGUAGCGGUGAAAUGCGUAGAUAUCGAGAGGAACACCUGCGGCGAAGGCGGGUAGCUGGGCCGACACUGACGCUGAGGCGCGAAAGCCAGGGGAGCGAACGGG